GGUAGGGGGACGAAAUUCUAAAAGGAAGAGUCCUGAACAUAGUUUACGCCUCUGUGUCUAGAUCUCAACUACACCAUUGUUCUGCGAAACAACUCAAACCACCACUCAUCUUCUCUCCUUACUACUCGAGAAGACAACAGACAAGACACCGCCAAACCACUAGAAAGCUUCACCCAUCAACCACAGCUUGGCUUUCUCCCUCACCAUAACUUCUCACCGAUAGAAGAACUCACUGGUGAGCUCCAUGUUUCGGCAAAACACCAUAACCAAAUGAGCUCAAAGGUCCUACCAGACCCAAAACCAUUGUCGUACCCUCCUUUCUCCUUUAUUAGCUGCUAUUUGUGAGGAUCUCCACCCUCCGAUGAAGCAGAGCACCAAAGAACAACCAACAGUAGCUCCGCCUACCACCACACAGUCUAAAACAAAAAUCCCACUCCAUCCUCUUUAACACUCUAGCGAACGGCAAAUAAACCACUGGAUCUAACCACCAAAACCCGAUCCUGUUCUCUUCAUCACUCCAGCAAACAUAAAGGAAUCCCCAUAUCUCACAACAAAAACACCUCUCCGCUCUCUUCAUCACUCCAUUGAACACAAACAAAUCACAGAUCCUACAACCAAAACCCCCACCCGGUCCUCAUCGCCAAUCCAGUGGACGACAAAUGAACCCCCAGACCUCACCACCAAAUCGUAGUCCGUCCUCUUCACCAAUUUAGUGAAUGACAAACAAUCCACCAGAUCUUAACAGAAAAACUUCACUACUCCACUUCAUUGGUGCUCAAAACUGCAACUAGCAAGCUCAAGCUUCCGCAACCAACAAACAACCCACUUACCCACUCCCCUUUUUAUGUUUUUUUUUUCAUUUUCAUGUUUUUUUGGGUCAAAACCAAGUAACAACAAUAAACCAGGUCUUCAUCAACCCUCCAUUUUUUGUGAGAUUUGCCACUAUGGUGUCAUUUGUUUUGAAAUCUAUUCUGAUCUUCCAUAUGUUUCAGUUACUUUUUAUUUGUAAGAAUGUCUUUGUUAGUUGACUGAUUCAAAAGUUUAGUGCUAUUAUUGGAAGUGCUUUUAGGAGUAUUACAUAUCUAGUUAUGUAGUUCGAGAGUCCUAAUUAGUUGAUGUUAGUCGGUUAAUGAGUAAAGGGUUAGUUCUAAACUAGUGCUCUAUUUUUCUUCUCUCGGUUUGUUUGUUUCCAAUUCCUAGUUAAAGACUUGUAUCGCUGCUUUUGAAAAACAAUAGAAAAGAUGAGUUUCUCUGUGUUAGCAUCUUAUUCUAAUAGUCGUUCAUAUCUUUUCCGAACAUCUUUGGCAGUGUUGUUUAAUUUUAUAGAGGUUGUUGUUAUUUUAGUAUAGCUUUAAUCUACUCUUUAGAUUUGGAUAGAAAAGCUAAAACUCAGCAAGUUGUAUUUUUUUUUUGUUAAGUUCAAUUAAAAAUUAUUACAAUUUUUAGUGUUGAUAAUUUUAGUUUAGAUGGUUAUUGUAGUUUUGGUUGUUCUCCAAUGAUGGUGAACUUUUUCAAGCAAACCUUUCUGUUCAUUAAAUACUAAUUUAUUAUUAUGAUUAGUUUUUGUUAAUUUUGAUGGCAGUUCAAUUUUUUUCACACCUUUUGUUAACCUGCUUUGUUUGAUUCUUGAUGUUCAUUGUUACUGAUUGUUGUUAAGAAUUAAUUUUUAUUAAUUCUUUACUUAUUUAUUUGACUUUAAGUAUUACAUAGUAAAUUUACUGUUAGUGAUUAUUGUUAAGACCUAUGUUUACCAUUAAGUAUUAGAUAAUAAAUUUACUUUUAUUAUUGAUACAGUUAUUGUUUUUAGGUAAUUCAUAUUUCAAAUAACUUUAUCUUUUACAUUUAGUAGUUAACUCUAUUUAAGUUGGUGUGUAAGAAGAUCUGGAUAAUCUCAAAUAAUAUUGAAAAGAGUAUUAGUACACCUGUUAUAAUUAUUGUGUAUUAUUGUUACAAAUGAUUUAAAUUUGUUGUAUGUUGUUGUUCUCUACAGAUUUAGCUAGCUCGGGAAAAUAUCUUAAUGUUGUUGACGCAACACAAUUAUGAUUUGAGAAGAGUAUUAGUGUUUUUGUUAUAAUUAUUUUGUAUUGUUGUUAAUAUUUGUUGUAUAUUGUUGUUCUCUACAGAUUCUGGUAGCACGGGAGAUGGUCCUAACGUAGUUGACGUGCAGUACAAUCGUACCUAGAAUGUGACUUUUAAAAGUUAGAUUAUUAAAAAAAAAUAGUUGACGUGCAGUACAAUCGUACAUAGAAUGUGACUUUUAAAAGUUAGAUUAUUAAAAAAAAUUAAACUUGUGAUGCACAACAAUCCUUCUCUAAUCUAUCUCAGUAGUUUUGUUUUUUAAUUUUAUUUAACAAAUAUUUCUCACUGUUCAAUUUCUGCAUAAUGAAUGAUAGCAAAGAGGUAAAGAAAACCAAAAAAUUUAAAUCUUGGCUCAUUUUUCUUAAUUGUCUUGGCUUUUUUCUUGCUUAUUUUAUUUUCUUCAGAAUUCAAAGUUGCAUAACAGUUUCUUGGGUCUACCUAGAGUUCAUCAUAUGAUCUUUGCUUCUAUAUGUUAAAUUUUACAUAAAAACAAGACUAUCCAGUUUUCCUUUUGGAUAGGUUUAAGUUUAACUAGAUAUCAAAUUAAAGUUUUGUCUUUUUGCAUUUCUUUUGAUAUAAAUAAGUACAUGAAUAUAGGUUGAGUUUCUUCCUUCUUCCUCUUCUGCUUCCUUUUCCUUCUUCUUCUUCAUCUUCGUCUUCAUUUUCUUCCUCUCUUUCUCUUCUUCUUAUAUAAAAUUGAAUGAAUUUUGUUUUGAUAAAACAAUGAGAGGAAUAAAGAAGAAGGAGAAUGAUAUACAAGGUUCAUGGUAUAUAUUUAAGUUGCUUGGAUUUGUGUGUGGAUAUCCAAGACGGAUGCGAAUUUCAGAGUCGGAUUCGGUAAAAUUUAAAUUUUAAGAUUUCGGGAGGGGGGAAAUCCGAGCAUGGAUACGGGUGUGGGGAUUCGGCCUAAAUAUUCAAUAUUAUAAAUUAUAGGUAUAAUAAUGACUAGGUAAUUCGUACGCGCUUUAGGCGGUCAUAAAUAAUAAUUGCAUUAAACUUGAAAAUUAUUUUCUUAUAAUAUCCAUACAUUAAAAACAAUAGAAAUAUAGGUUUUUAAAAAAAUAUUAGUAAUAUUCCAACAUAAAUUUGAUUAUUUUUCAUUAUCACAUAAUUCAAG
rnacentral:lncRNA from 1 species